UUGAACGCUGGCGGCAGGCCUAACACAUGCAAGUCGAGCGGUUGAGAGUAGCUUGCUACUUGAUGCAGCGGCGGACGGGUGAGUAACGCGUGGGAAUCUGCCCAGUAGUGGGGGACAACAGCCGGAAACGGCUGCUAAUACCGCAUACGCCCUACGGGGGAAAGGGGGGGAUCUUCGGACCUCUCGCUAUUGGAUGAGCCCGCGUCGGAUUAGCUAGUUGGUAGGGUAAAGGCCUACCAAGGCUACGAUCCGUAACUGGUCUGAGAGGAUGAUCAGUCAAACUGGAACUGAGACACGGUCCAGACUCCUACGGGAGGCAGCAGUGGGGAAUAUUGGACAAUGGGGGAAACCCUGAUCCAGCCAUGCCGCGUGUGUGAAGAAGGCCUUAAGGUUGUAAAGCACUUUCAGUGGGGAGAAAGGUUUGUCACCUAAUACGUGAUGAAAUUGAUGUUACCCACAGAAGAAGCACCGGCUAACUCCGUGCCAGCCGCCGCAGUAAAAC
rnacentral:rRNA from 1 species